AGAAAGUUGAAACUGCUGAGGAUGGUUCUGGACCAAGCUCCAACUGAGCUGCAGACACUCUUUCCUGGUGUCUGAGCUGUAGGUACUAUACCAGGCCCCAACUGAGCUGCAGGCACUGUUUCCUGGUGACUGAGCUGCAGGCCAACAUAGCCGAGGUAGAGGUCUCCAUCCCUGCCAAGCUGCACAACUCACUCAUUGGCACCAAGGGCCGUCUGAUCCGCUCCAUCAUGGAGGAGUGCGGCGGGGUACACAUUCACUUUCCCGUGGAAGGUUCAGGAAGCGACACCGUUGUUAUCAGGGGCCCUUCCUCGGAUGUGGAGAAGGCCAAGAAGCAGCUCCUGCAUCUGGCGGAGGAGAAGCAAACCAAGAGUUUCACUGUUGACAUCCGCGCCAAGCCAGAAUACCACAAAUUCCUCAUCGGCAAGGGGGGCGGCAAAAUUCGCAAGGUGCGCGACAGCACUGGAGCACGCGUCAUCUUCCCUGCGGCUGA
rnacentral:sRNA from 1 species